UUGAGGUGGACUCUAACCUCGAAAUCUCAGAAGGACAGGUCAUAGGAUGCAACCUCGCAUUUGAGAAACACCCAUAGAACGGUCAACUUUCCCCAUACUCUAACCUGAAUGCAGGGAUCAUAAAACUUUAUCUUUUACCUUAAUUGUUAGAUGGGUGUUGAUACCAAACUUUUUUUCACGUCUACCCAGGAGAAAGUCAUGGGUUCUGCUGCUAAGGUUGUCAUAAACGUCUUUUAUUCUGCUUACCUGACUCAUGCAGAAUUCUGGCUUAAAGUUUGGUCCACCUGUUAGCUGGCUCUGGUGCUUGGUAGUCUUCUCAAACCUCUGAAUCAAGACCACCAUGAGAGGCCUUCUGAAGACCAUCAUUACGCUUCAGAUCCAGUUGUCUUUACUAUGAGCCUACCACAAUCCCUGUGCACCAGCUAUGGAAAGUGCAGACCAAACUUCUACCUCCACCUAUAGAACUGAACUGGAGUCUGUGAACUAAUGCUGUGUUCGAGACAACUUGGAUGUUGGAUAUUAUUGACCUUAAACCCGUAAGAAGUCAGGAACAGGAAACAAAGUGGAGUAUCCAACCUCUCAACUUGGAGCAGAUCGAUCAACACCGACCUCAACGAGAUGCGUUAUUUGACAUUGCAGACAAGGUGGUGGCUAGCCUUUCACAGCCUUACAUGAACCGCAAACAAACUUUAAACAGCACGUAAUAUAGAUGAACAUGAAUGUUAAAUUAUCCAGUAACCGUUUUCUGCCAUAAUUGGCACAAGAGCACAAACUUCUCCUGGCGUCUCAUUAUGUGGUAAACACGCAAAU